UCUGGUGUCAAACUUUAAAAAAAAGGCCAUGAACGUUUAUUGGAAAUAGACCUACAAUAUUGCUUGCACGUACGUUCAAAACUGGCGACGCUUUUAAAGUUCAACAACAACAAAAAAAAGCAGUGAGGUUCUGGGGUCCGCCUUGCGCAAACCCAUCCAAAAUUAUCACACUAUUCUACCUACGAUACAGGCCCACAAGAUUAAUACGAGGAAAGACAUAAUUUAUAAUGAAACGAUCGAAAGUUGAGGAGUUGCUUAAACAAAUCGUAGAAUCACCUGAAAAAUUUGAUGAUUACAUGCCAAAGCUGAUCACGGCAGUGAACGAGUUCGACGAGGAAGAAGAUGUGAACAAAGAAAACCUGUACUUCAUAGAAAAAGUGGUUGAAAGCCAUGUUGUAAUUUUGUUUUUUUAAGUGCAUUUGGAAGAAAAUAAAUGUUUUGUUGAAUUGAAUUGAAUUGAAUUGUAAAAACAGCUAAGGAAUUGUUCGUUGUGAAAAAUAAACAUAAUUUGAAUUACAUACUAUUUAUUAUUGUUAUUAGUUGAGGUCACCGUUUAAGUGGUUUGAUUCAGUAAACGCCAUUUUAAUAAUUAUCUGUCAUUGCAAUUAUGUACUGGAAUUUGUGAAGCAUUCCUAAUUUACGAACAGAUCUGAAUUUGAAAUCCAAAUUAAUUUAUUUUAAAAUCGAGUAGUUUCGUAGGCAAAUUACGGGAUGACAGUAUUCAAUUUUUUUAAACACGCGAUUAUACAUAAGCAUUAUUUUUUUAACACCCUAAGUUGGCGAAGACGACUGCCCAUGUAUACAUCUGACAGCUAAUAGUUAAAAAAAAAUAGUAUAGUUUUAACUACAUGUGUUUUUUUUUAUCACGAAACAUAGUAAAGGUAAAAAAUCCGGAGUCAUGGCCAAACUUGCGGUUGCUUUGGCAAAAAGGAAGAUGACGAGGUAUUAUCGCAGUAUAGUUUAUACUCUGCGAGAACGAAACAUUUUAAACUGGAAGGACCAAAGUGAGGAAGCCAUUAUGAUAAUUGAAACAUUUGUUGAACCACCGGAAAUAAGAAUGUCUAAACGAGAUGUGGAUUGGUACGGAAAAGACCAUCCAGAAAAAAGUAAUUCGGCUGAUUUAAUUAUCGACUGUGCAGAUGAAAUGGUAAAAGCGUUUCAGAAAUACAUAAUCUACAAUGAAACGAUCGGAGGUUGAGGAGUUGGUUAAAAAAAUCCAGGAAUCACCUGAAAAUAUUGAUUCUUAUAUAAAGAUGCUGAUUACGGCAGUGAACGAAUUCGACGAGGAAGAAGCCGUGAACGAAAAAAACCUGAACAUAAUAGCAGACGUGGUUGAAGACCAUGUUGUACCAGCAGCUAGGGAAUGUAAGGGUAAAAAGUCCGGAGUUGUGUCUAAACUUGCGGUUGCUUUGGCAAAAAGAAAGAUGACGAGGUACUAUCGCAGCAUAAAUGAUAUUCUGCGAGAACGAAGCAU